rnacentral:rRNA from 1 species
AGCGAACGCUGGCGGCAGGCUUAACACAUGCAAGUCGAGCGCCCCGCAAGGGGAGCGGCAGACGGGAGAGUAACACGUGGAAACGUACCCUUUAGUUCGGAACAACCCAGGGAAACUUGGGCUAAUACCGGAUACGUCCGUAAGGAGAAAGAUUUAUCGCUAAAGGAUCGGCCCGCGUCUGAUUAGCGAGUUGGCGAGGUAACGGCUCACCAAGGCGACGAUCAGUAGCUGGUCUGAGAGGAUGAUCAGCCUCACUGGGACUGAGACACGGCCCAGACUCCUACGGGAGGCAGCAGUGGGGAAUAUUGGACAAUGGGCGCAAGCCUGAUCCAGCCAUGCCGCGUGGGUGAUGAAGGCCCUAGGGUUGUAAAGCCCUUUCGGCGGGGAAGAUAGUGACGGUACCCGCAGAAGAAGCCCCGGCUAACCUCGUGCCAGCAGCCGCAGUAA